GUAGUACUCCCUCCGUCUGGAAUUACUUGUCACGAAAAUGAAUGGAAAUGGAUGUAUCUAGAACUAAAAUAUGUCUAGAUACAUCCAUUUCUGGGACAAGUAUUUCCGGACGGAGGGAGUAGAUG
rfam:Triticum aestivum genome assembly, contig: Triticum_aestivum_CS42_TGACv1_scaffold_031585_1BL